rnacentral:rRNA from 1 species
UAACACGUAGGGGACGAGCGUUGUCCGGAUUCAUUGGGCGUAAAGCGCGCGUAGGCGGCUCGGAAAGUCGGGCGUGAAAUGCCGGGGCUCAACCCCGGGACUGCGUCCGAUACUUCCGAGCUGGAGGUAGGUAGGGGAGAUCGGAAUUCCUGGUGUAGCGGUGAAAUGCGCAGAUAUCAGGAGGAACACCGGUGGCGAAGGCGGAUCUCUGGGCCUUACCUGACGCUGAGGCGCGAAAGCUAGGGGAGCGAACAGGAUUAGAUACCCUGGUAGUCCACGCUGUAAACGAUGGGCACUAGGUGUGGGGGGUGUCGACUCCCUCCGUGCCGAAGCUAACGCAUUAAGUGCCCCGCCUGGGGAGUACGGCCGCAAGGCUA